AUUGCCAUUAUAUCCUUGCAUUAUGGUUUUAGUGCCAUUUUACUCUCAGCUAUCAUGCUGCUAUUCUUGACUAUUGCAAACUAUAAAGCAUAAGAUAACAGUAGUAUGUCAGUAUCUAUGCUGAACUCAACAGUUUAAAGCUUCUACUCAGAACAAUUUUUUAAUCUGUCUUGGUUAAAGGUAUUUGCUGCAAUUACAUGCACAAAUUGAUGAACUUGGGAUUCAAUGGGAAUUGAAGGUAGAAUUUUUAAGUUGCUUGUUUCCUACUUGUCUGGAAAUGUUUCCAGUUCUGUUAUGACUAAAGAUAGCAUUGUUUGAAGUGGCAACAAUGGGAUUGCCAAGACUUGGCAAUGCUACUUUUUGGCAGGACUUAUUAGCCCACAAAUAGAGGAGAAUUUGUGAGACUAAUUGUUAUAAUUUGUCCUUGGCGACUUAUAAUUAUAGCAACCCAUUGGAGAUGCUCUUACACUGUCAAGACAAUUGAGGAUUAACAUACACAAACUCUAUUUCCAGGACAAAUGAGCUUUGGUCAACUUAUCUGCGUCUCCAUAGUCAGUUGCAUUACCUAGUAGGUAUAAUCGGCUAUACUAAGCAUUACUAACUGUAUAAAUGUAUAUACACUCCCAAGUUUUUUUGUCCUCUGUCAGGUUGAUAUUGCUGGAAUAUCAGUUAUGUACUUAUGUGAAACAUGGGCAUUUUUUGGCAUGUCUGACACAUCAGAGGAGUUUUAUGUUCCAUAUGUCUAAUGAAGCAUCCACUUGCUUUUGUUUAGUUUUCCCUUUUCAUUGUUGAACAUAUGUAGAAGCAAAAUUCUGCUGAACAAAACACUGUAGGUUAAGGAAAAAUUACAGUGAGGUGUCAUACAGUUAGUCCAUCUACUCGAACUACUCUUUUUCUAUUCAUGUCAGCAUUUCGUAUAGAUGUUAUUAUUUCAGCAAUAGUGUCUCUAUCAUGAUGGAUUAAAAUUAUUGGUGCCUUCCAAUUUGGAUAUAAUCAACAUGUUUUCCUUUUUUUUACGUUUUUUAUUUGUUUGUGAAUUCUUAAAGAUAUAUGCGUGAGACACAAUCUCCUAAUUAAUCUUAAUCUAUUUCUUUCCAAUACCC